rnacentral:rRNA from 1 species
GAUGAACGCUGGCGGCGUGCCUAAUACAUGCAAGUCGAGCGAACGGACGAGAAGCUUGCUUCUCUGAUGUUAGCGGCGGACGGGUGAGUAACACGUGGAUAACCUACCUAUAAGACUGGGAUAACUUCGGGAAACCGGAGCUAAUCCCGGAUGAUAUUUUGAACCGCAUGGUUCAAAAGUGAAAGACGGUCUUGCUGUCACUUAUAGAUGGAUCCGCGCUGCAUUAGCUAGUUGGUAAGGUAACGGCUUACCAAGGCAACGAUGCAUAGCCGACCUGAGAGGGGGAUCGGCCACACUGGAACUGAGACACGGUCCAGACUCCUGCGGGAGGCAGCAGUAGGGAAUCGUCCGCAAUGGGCGAAAGCCUGACGGAGCAACGCCGCGUGAGUGAUGAAGGUCUUCGGAUCGUAAAACUCUGUUAUUAGGGAAGAACAUAUGUGUAAGUAACUGUGCACAUCGUGACGGUACCUAAUCAGAAAGCCACGGCUAACUACGUG